GCGGGAUUGGUUUAAUGGCAGGACGACUCCCUUCCAAGGAGUAAGCACCGGUUCGAUUCCGGUAUCCCGCA
rnacentral:tRNA from 1 species